AGAGUUUGAUCCUGGCUCAGAUUGAACGCUGGCGGAACGCUUUACACAUGCAAGUCGAACGGUAACGUGGGGAGGAGCUUGCUCCACCCCGACGACGAGUGGCGAACGGGUGAGUAAUACAUCGGAACGUGUCCGCUUGUGGGGGACAACCAGCCGAAAGGUUGGCUAAUACCGCAUGAGUUCUACGGAAGAAAGAGGGGGACCCGCAAGGGCCUCUCGCGAGCGGAGCGGCCGAUGACUGAUUAGCCGGUUGGUGAGGUAACGGCUCACCAAAGCAACGAUCAGUAGCUGGUCUGAGAGGACGACCAGCCACACUGGGACUGAGACACGGCCCAGACUCCUACGGGAGGCAGCAGUGGGGAAUUUUGGACAAUGGGCGCAAGCCUGAUCCAGCUAUUCCGCGUGUGGGAUGAAGGCCCUCGGGUUGUAAACCACUUUUGUAGAGAACGAAAAGACACCAUCGAAUAAAUGGUGUUGCUGACGGUACUCUAAGAAUAAGCACCGGCUAACUACGUGCCAGCAGCCGCGGUAAUACGUAGGGUGCGAGCGUUAAUCGGAAUUACUGGGCGUAAAGGGUGCGCAGGCGGUUGAGUAAGACAGAUGUGAAAUCCCCGAGCUUAACUCGGGAAUGGCAUAUGUGACUGCUCGACUAGAGUGUGUCAGAGGGAGGUGGAAUUCCACGUGUAGCAGUGAAAUGCGUAGAUAUGUGGAAGAACACCGAUGGCGAAGGCAGCCUCCUGGGACAUAACUGACGCUCAGGCACGAAAGCGUGGGGAGCAAACAGGAUUAGAUACCCUGGUAGUCCACGCCCUAAACGAUGUUAACUAGUUGUUGGGAUGUAACAAUCUCAGUAACGCAGCCAACGCGAGAAGUUAACCGCCUGGGAAGUACGGUCGCAAGACUAAAACUCAAAGGAAUUGACGGGGACCCGCACAAGCGGUGGAUGA
rnacentral:rRNA from 1 species